GACAGAGGGUGCAAACGUUGUUCGGAAUUACUGGGCGUAAAGCGAGUGUAGGCGGUUAGGUAAGUCGGAUGUGAAAGCCCCGGGCUCAACCCGGGAAGUGCAUUCGAUACUGCCAAGCUAGAGUAUCGGAGAGGUUGGUGGAAUUCUCGGUGUAGAGGUGAAAUUCGUAGAUAUCGAGAGGAACACCAGUGGCGAAGGCGAGUCUCUGGACAUUUCCUGACGCUGAGGCACGAAAGCCAGGGGAGCAAACGGG
rnacentral:rRNA from 1 species